rnacentral:rRNA from 1 species
AGUUGGACCGUAGGGGGUAAUAGUCCUGUAGGUGAAAAUUAUAAUGAUCAAGUUCUGAUCCAGAGUACCACGAGACACGUGAAACCUUGUGGGAAGCAGGGAGGACCACCUCCCAAGGCUAAAUACUACCUGAUGACCGAUAGUGAAGCAGUACCGUGAGGGAAAGGUGAAAAGAACCCCGGGAGGGGAGUGAAAUAGAACCUGAAACCAUGUGCCUACAACCGAUCAAAGCACCUUAUGUGUGUGAUGAUGUGCUUUUUGUAGAACGAGCCAACGAGUUACGGUAUGUAGCAAGGUUAAGUACUUAAGGUACGGAGCCGAAGGGAAACCGAGUCUUAAUAGGGCGACUAGUUGCAUGCUGUAGACCCGAAACCGGGUGACCUAUCCAUGGCCAGGUUGAAGCGAGGGUAAAACCUCGUGGAGGACCGAACCACGUUGCUGUUGAAAAAGCAUGGGAUGAGCUGUGGAUAGCGGAGAAAUUCCAAUCGAACUCGGAUAUAGCUGGUUCUCCUCGAAAUAGCUUUAGGGCUAGCGUCGGAAAAUGUGAGUACUGGGGGUAGAGCACUGAAUGGGCUAGGGGGCAUAGCGCUUACCGAACCUUAUCAAACUCCGAAUACCAGAUACUAUCAGUCCGGCAGUCAGACUGCGAAAGAUAAGUUCCGUAGUCAAAAGGGAAACAGCCCAGAUCGUCAGCUAAGGUCCCAAAGUGUAAGUUAAGUGGAAAAGGAUGUGGGAUUUCUAAGACAACUAGGAUGUUGGCUUAGAAGCAGCCACUCAUUAAAAGAGUGCGUAAUAGCUCACUAGUCAAGAGAUCCUGCGCCGAAAAUGUCCGGGGCUCAAACUUACCACCGAAGCUACGGGUUCACACAAUAGUGUGAGCGGUAGAGGAGCGUCGUAAUCGGGCUGAAGUCGUACCGUAAGGAGCGGUGGACUGAUUACGAGUGAGAAUGUUGGCAUUAGUAGCGAGAUGUGGGUGAGAAUCCCACAGGCCGAAUACCUAAGGUUUCCUCAGGAAGGUUCGUCCGCUGAGGGUUAGUCGGGACCUAAGCUGAGGCCGAAAGGCGUAAGCGAUGGACAAUCGGUUGAUAUUCCGAUACCACUAUUAUCGUUAUUAUCGAUGGUGUGACGGAGAAGGAUAGGAUGUGCUAGCUAUUGGAUGCUAG